GCCACGUUGGCACCAAAUGGCUCCGUUUGUCUCCGUGCACGGGGGGAACAGCUGGGCACCGUGACAGCACUGCUCCCAGGCCUCAGAGAGGGGCCGUGGGCACGCUGUGCUGGGCUUUCUGGUAACGCUGCACCACGGGGAGGAAUCAGGUAAAAUCCCUGCAGCACAGCUGGACGGAGCCUGGGCCCUGCCUGAGGCAGCAUGACUGGGCCACAGUUUCCUUCCCAGGAGGUUGGUGUGAGGAGGAGAGAGUAAGGAUGCAGCCGUGGAUGGGUUCUGCAGUGUAUUUUACCUACGUGGCAGCGGGCAAUGCCAACCUCCUUGUAGGGCAUGAGCAGGCAGCAAGAGAGACCCAGACAGUGUUUAUGGAGUUGUUUUGCUCUUUUUGGCAUCGCAUAGCAGCACUUGGUUGUAUCCAAAGUUGACCCUGCAGAUGGUCUUAUAAAAUUAAAAAAUCAAACAAGAAUGAAGAAGGAAUGGCAGCUACUCCCUGUCCAGCAUUGCUGCUUGAAAGGGCCUGGGCUCUGCUCAGAAACCUGGAGUAGGGAUCUGCAGGUUGGCCAACAUACUUGGUACCUCCAUUUUGCAAGAUGCACAUGCAAAAAUAAUUUAUAAAAAAGGUUAUGCAGAAUGCUUCUUCUUGACACUCAUGUGCCAGGCACAAAAGCAAAGUUCCCUGGCUGCUUUCAUGGGUUGCCGCCAUGCUUUAAGUUCAGGCAGUGCUUUUUGUACAGUCCCUCCAUUGCAACCUUCCAUAACUCACUGGGAACAAAAGUACCAAAUAUCUUCUGAACAUUUCCAUUUUAAAUAUGACUGGUGUUAAAUAGAUGCAUGUGUGCUGCCUGCAAACUAGAAGUCAGUGAUAAAACAAAUGUAAUAGCAUGGAACCAAUGUGCUUACAGUCUUACUGUUUUCCUCUCCCCAGAAGCAAUGUGGCCCCCCGGACGAGGAAGAUGCGAUACAGCUAGCUGAAGCCCACCAGGUUCCCAGAGAACAACAACCCUAGGGGAAACUCAUGUAUAAUUUCUCAAUGACAAGCACUAAAGCCACACUGCUCAGUUCUUACUGGAGGUGGAAGACAAGUUUGCAUAAAACCUAGAGGAGAGCCUGUAUGGCUCAAUUUUAGAUCUGUGGCUAUAACCAGUAAACUUGUGGCUGGUCUUCCCUGGUUACCAGAGACUGAAGCACUCUAAAGAUCUUCUUAAGCUGCCAGCUGAGUUCUGCCGCCCAAAGGCAGCCGCAGGUUUCCUGUUUUUGGUAAAGAACACCUCAGGCUCUCCAAGCAGCUGCUUUGUCUUCCUGAGCCUCUGAAUGGAAAGAAAUGGCUCUGCAGAGAAGAAUGGCAGGAAUGCACAGAGUGGAUCAGCUGCAGGAGAACGGGGUGAGGCCGCAUGCAGUUUGUUAAGGGAGUAGUCAUCAUCCUAAAGUGUAUUUCUACCCGGCUGUUGCAAUGCUGUGCCUUGCCUUGCCCAAGAAGAAAAAAAAAUAGAGCAUCUGCAAUCUACCUGUCCCAAAACACUACAGCAUGGCUCACUGAUUGGAAUCACAGGCAGCCCCACAAAGCACAGCCGCGCCAUUCCUGCCUCUCCCCAGAAUGGCUCCGAUGUGCUCACAGUAACUCCCUUCUGCACAACUCCUGAGUUUUAAUAGCUUUCACUUUCAAGGAUCAUCUGCCAUCAAAUGUACCCACUCAGCUGCCAUUUUCCAAGCAAAAAAGCUCCCCACUCUGCAAGCACCUCCCAGGCUCACUAUGACAGGCUCAAGUAGCAUACAGGAUGGCUAGCAGGCAAACGCCACCUUGCUACUGUGGCCAGGGCAGUGCAUAAGGAGAAGCUAAGGAUGCACUGCUGAGCACAUACAUAAACCUCUUUCUCCUCAUAGAAGAUUAUUUGUCUUUUUUCUACAAGCCAUUCCUUUCUCCCUUUCAUAAGGAUCCAAGGGAGCAGCUCAGCCUGCAGAAGAAAGUGGAACUACUUGGGUUUUAUGAUGUUGGCCAGGACUUUGGGCAAGGUGCGAGACCCAUGGGAAAGAGGUAAAUGCAUUCCCAGUGGGUAACACCUUUCUGAUGUGAAGAAGCAAAAAUACAAGACCACCUAGAAGGGAGCAGCACACAUAUGCAAAACACAUGCAUAAAACUCAUCUAUUGGUCAGCCAAGGUUAUAAUCUCCCUUACAUUUAGCAUAGAGUGAGAAGGGAGAUGGUGUUCAACAGCAAUGGGUACAGCUCCAUCUGUGAACAAGCUCCUCCUUUUUACCUUCCCACGUUACCAGGACAGUUGACCAUUCUUUUCACUUUCUGCCCCAAACAAGUUGCCUCCAGCACCUCCUUCUGGUCCUGCAGAUUUGAAGGGGAGGGCUGGGAAAUAGUUCAGCUCUGAAGGAUGAUGAUGAAAUUGGACCUACUGCAUCAAAGCAGCCUUGCUAAGACUAUGGAGCAGGAACUGGUAAUAUUUGGAAAGUACUUCAGCCCCACUUCUCUCUGAAAAUAAGCCCCGCUUUCUCCUGGCAUUGGACAUUCCUCAUUUCUGGAGCCUUUGAAAGUGAGACCUGGACCCGCUUGUCCCUCCCCACCACAAGGAUGGAGAGACCCAGGGCUGGGAAUUCUUCCAGCCGGUGCUCUCUCUUAAACCCCAUUGAGUCCUAAAGGCUGGAAGUAACACAUCAAAUGGAUUAUCUCAAGGUUGUUGGUUUUUUUUUCUUUAGUAUGUAGAUUUUUUCCAUUAUCAGUAAGAAGCACUAAGAAGAAGCUCUUGUAAGGAGAG